rnacentral:rRNA from 1 species
GAUGAACGCUGGCGGCGUGCCUAAUACAUGCAAGUCGAGCGAACAGACGAGGCGCUUGCUCCUCUGACGUUAGCGGCGGACGGGUGAGUAACACGUGGAUAACCUACCUAUAAGACUGGGAUAACUUCGGGAAACCGGAGCUAAUACCGGAUGAUAUAUUGAACCGCAUGGUUCAAUAGUGAAAGACGGUUUUGCUGUCACUUCUAGCUGGUUCCGCGCCGCAUUAGCUAGUUGGUACUGUUACAGGCUACCACGGCAACGCUGCGUGGCCGAACGGAGAGGGGGGUAGGCCACCCUGGAACGGAGACAGCGUCCAUGCUCCUGAGGGAGGGAGCAGUAUGGAACGUUACGCAACGGGGGAAAGCCUUACGGAGCAACGGCGCGUGAGUGAUGGAGGUGCUCGGAUCGGAAAACCCGGUUAUUAGGGAAGAACAAAUGUGUAAGGAACUAUGCACGUAUUGACGGUACCUAAUCAGAAAGCCACGGCUAACUACGUG